rnacentral:rRNA from 1 species
UACAGAGGGUGCGAGCGUUAAUCGGAAUUACUGGGCGUAAAGCGCGCGUAGGCGGCUUUGCAAGUCGGGUGUGAAAUCCCCAGGCUUAACCUGGGAACUGCAUUCGAGACUGCAUUGCUAGAGUAUGGGAGAGGGAAGUGGAAUUUCCGGUGUAGCGGUGAAAUGCGUAGAUAUCGGAAGGAACAUCAGUGGCGAAAGCGACUGCCUGGACCAAUACUGACGCUCAUGUGCGAAAGCGUGGGGAGCAAACAGG